GACAGAGGGUGCAAACGUUGUUCGGAAUUACUGGGCGUAAAGCGCGUGUAGGCGGUCCGGUAAGUCCGCUGUGAAAGUCGGGGGCUCAACCCUCGAAUGCCGGUGGAUACUGUCGGGCUAGAGUGCGGAAGAGGCGAGUGGAAUUCCUGGUGUAGCGGUGAAAUGCGCAGAUAUCAGGAGGAACACCAAUUGCGAAGGCAGCUCGCUGGGACGGUACUGACGCUGAGGCGCGAAAGCGUGGGGAGCGAACAGG
rnacentral:rRNA from 1 species